rnacentral:rRNA from 1 species
CGGUACCACUUGAGUAAGCACCGGCUAACUACGUGCCAGCAGCCGCGGUAAUACGUAGGGUGCGAGCGUUGUUCGGAAUUACUGGGCGUAAAGGGAGUGUAGGCGGAAUUGUAAGUUAGAAGUUUAAUAUACGGGCUCAACCCGUAAUCUGCUUUUAAUACUGCAGUUCUUGAGUAUGGGAGAGGGUGAUGGAAUUUCAGGUGUAGCGGUGGAAUGCGUAGAUAUCUGAAAGAACACCAGUAGCGAAGGCGGUCGCCUGGCCCAAUACUGACGCUGAUGCUCGAAAGCUAGGGGAGCAAACAGGAUUAGAUACCCUGGUAGUCCUAGCCGUAAACGAUGGACACUAGUUGCUGGAGGAGUCAAUCUUUUCGGUGACGAAGCUAACGCAUUAAGUGUCCCGCCUGGGAAGUACGCCCGCAAGGGU